rnacentral:rRNA from 1 species
GACGAACGCUGGCGGCGUGUUUAACACAUGCAAGUCGAACGGAAAGGCCCUGCUUUUGUGGGGUGCUCGAGUGGCGAACGGGUGAGUAACACGUGAGUAACCUGCCCUUGACUUUGGGAUAACUUCAGGAAACUGGGGCUAAUACCGGAUAGGAGCUCCUGCUGCAUGGUGGGGGUUGGAAAGUUUCGGCGGUUGGGGAUGGACUCGCGGCUUAUCAGCUUGUUGGUGGGGUAGUGGCUUACCAAGGCUUUGACGGGUAGCCGGCCUGAGAGGGUGACCGGCCACAUUGGGACUGAGAUACGGCCCAGACUCCUACGGGAGGCAGCAGUGGGGAAUAUUGCACAAUGGGCGGAAGCCUGAUGCAGCAACGCCGCGUGCGGGAUGACGGCCUUCGGGUUGUAAACCGCUUUCGCCUGUGACGAAGCGUGAGUGACGGUAAUGGGUAAAGAAGCACCGGCUAACUACGUGCCAGCAGCCGCGGUGAUACGUAGGGUGCGAGCGUUGUCCGGAUUUAUUGGGCGUAAAGGGCUCGUAGGUGGUUGAUCGCGUCGGAAGUGUAAUCUUGGGGCUUAACCCUGAGCGUGCUUUCGAUACGGGCUGACUUGAGGAAGGUAGGGGAGAAUGGAAUUCCUGGUGGAGCGGUGGAAUGCGCAGAUAUCAGGAGGAACACCAGUGGCGAAGGCGGUUCUCUGGGCCUUUCCUGACGCUGAGGAGCGAAAGCGUGGGGAGCGAACAGGCUUAGAUACCCUGGUAGUCCACGCUGUAAACGGUGGGUACUAGGUGUGGGGUCCAUUCCACGGGUUCCGUGCCGUAGCUAACGCUUUAAGUACCCCGCCUGGGGAGUACGGCCGCAAGGCUAAAACUCAAAGGAAUUGACGGGGCCCCGCACAAGCGGCGGAGCAUGCGGAUUAAUUCGAUGCAACGCGUAGAACCUUACCUGGGUUUGACAUGGAUCGGGAGUGCUCAGAGAUGGGUGUGCCUCUUUUGGGGUCGGUUCACAGGUGGUGCAUGGCUGUCGUCAGCUCGUGUCGUGAGAUGUUGGGUUAAGUCCCGCAACGAGCGCAACCCUUGUUCACUGUUGCCAGCACGUUAUGGUGGGGACUCAGUGGAGACCGCCGGGGUCAACUCGGAGGAAGGUGGGGAUGACGUCAAGUCAUCAUGCCCCUUAUGUCCAGGGCUUCACGCAUGCUACAAUGGCUGGUACAGAGAGUGGCGAGCCUGUGAGGGUGAGCGAAUCUCGGAAAGCCGGUCUCAGUUCGGAUUGGGGUCUGCAACUCGACCUCAUGAAGUCGGAGUCGCUAGUAAUCGCAGAUCAGCAACGCUGCGGUGAAUACGUUCCCGGG